rnacentral:misc_RNA from 1 species
AAGUCGUAACAAGGUUUCCGUAGGUGAACCUGCGGAAGGAUCAUCACUGAUUUUCUUUUCAAAGAACUUGUGUGGGUAAUAUUAGUACUUGGGGGUUGUCGUUGCGGGUGCGGGAGGACGCGGGCUUUGGCGGGAGCAAUCCUGCCGGGCGCGCCGAGUUCUGCACACGCGAGGCCCCCCUCGAUAUAAACACCAAAACAACACUAGCAUCAAACAAGAAUUUAUUAAAGAAAACAACUUUCAACAAUGGAUCUCUUGGCUCUU